rnacentral:rRNA from 1 species
UGGCUCAGAACGAACGCUGGCGGCGCGUCUUAAGCAUGCAAGUCGAACGGCAAGAGGUAGCAAUACCUCCUAGAGUGGCGGACUGGUGAGUAACACGUGGGUGACAUACCCUUCAGAUGGGGAUAGCUAUUAGAAAUAGUAGAUAAUACCGAAUACGAGCACAGGGGUUAGAGAUCUGUGAGGAAAGGAGCUAAGGCUCCGCUGAAGGAAUGGCCUGCGGCCCAUUAGCUAGUUGGUGAGGUAAGAGCCCACCAAGGCGACGAUGGGUAUCCGGCCUUAGAGGGUGAACGGACACAUUGGGACUGAGAUACGGCCCAGACUCCUACGGGAGGCAGCAGCUAAGAAUAUUCCGCAAUGGACGAAAGUCUGACGGAGCGACGCCGCGUGGAUGAAAGGAGGCCGGAAGGUUGUAAAAUCCUUUUGAAACUGAAGAAUAAGCGUUGUAGGGAAUGACAGCGUGGUGACAGUAGGUUUUGAAUAAGCAACGGCUAAUUACGUGCCAGCAGCAGC